UACAGAGGUCCCGAGCGUUGUUCGGAUUCACUGGGCGUAAAGGGUGCGUAGGCGGUUCUGAAAGUCUGAUGUGAAAUCUCCGGGCCCAACCCGGAAAUGGCAUUAGAAACUGCAGGGCUAGAGGCUUGGAGGGGGAACUGGAAUGCUCGGUGUAGCAGUGAAAUGCGUAGAUAUCUGGAGGAACACCGGUGGCGAAGGCGGCAUCCUGGACCGACACUGACGCUGAGGAGCGAAAGCCAGGGGAGCAAACGGG
rnacentral:rRNA from 1 species